AGCCACAAAGACAUGAAGAAACCUUAACUGCAUAUUGCUAAGUGAACAAAGCCAGUCUGAAAGACUACAUGUGCAUGAUUCCAACAAUAAGAAAUUCUGGAAAAGGCAAAACUAUAAAAACAGGAA